rnacentral:rRNA from 1 species
GGAUGUAAUCGCCUUCAUGUCAACUCAGACAAUAUUGAAGUCAUCAACACAAUGAAGAAUGGAGGACAAUCAGCGGGAGCGGCGGCGGCGGUUUUCGAUGAUUGCUAUUUUUUGGCAUGUGAUUUCCCUCUUACUAGGUUUGAACAUUGUAAUAGGGAAGCAAAUAAGGUGGCUCAUGAACUAGCCAGAUUAGCAAAAAUUUCUGUGACAAAUGACUAUUUUGGGGAGCCCAUGGAUGAAAUUGUACCUCUUCUUAUGGACGAUGCAACUGUUAUUUGCAAUUAA